GAUGAACGCUAGCGGCAGGCUUAACACAUGCAAGUCGAGGGGCAGCGCGGGAUAGCAAUAUCCUGGCGGCGACCGGCGGAAGGGUGCGUAACGCGUGAGCGACAUGCCCGUUGCCCGGGGACAACCGGUGGAAACGCCGACUAAUCCCCGAUGGGAUAUUGUGCCGCAUGGCACGAUAUUGAAAGUUACGGCGGCGACGGAUUGGCUCGCGUCCGAUUAGCUUGUUGGCGGGGUAACGGCCCACCAAGGCUGCGAUCGGUAGGGGUUCUGAGAGGAAGGCCCCCCACGAUGGGACUGAGACACGGCCCAUACUCCUACGGGAGGCAGCAGUGAGGAAUAUUGGUCAAUGGGCGGAAGCCUGAACCAGCCAUGCCGCGUGCGGGAAGGAGGCCCUAUGGGCUGUGAACCGCUUUUGCCUGGGGGCAAUAAGGGCGUCGCGCACGUCCGAUGAGAGUACCAGGCGAAUAAGCAUCGGCUAACUCCGUG
rnacentral:rRNA from 1 species